rnacentral:rRNA from 1 species
UACGGGAGGUGCAAGCGUUGUUCGGAGUGACUGGGCGUAAAGCGCACGUAGGUGGGCUUGUAAGUCGAAUGUGAAAUCCCCGGGCUUAACCUGGGAACUGCGCUUGUAACUGAGAGGCUAGAGUGUGGCAGAGGGGGGUGGAAUUCCACGUGUAGCAGUGAAAUGCGUAGAGAUGUGGAGGAACACCGAUGGCGAAGGCAGCCCCCUGGGCUAACACUGACGCUCAUGCACGAAAGCGUGGGGAGCAAACAGG